rnacentral:rRNA from 1 species
GACGAACGCUGGCGGCAUGCCUAACACAUGCAAGUCGAACGAGACCUUCGGGUCUAGUGGCGCACGGGUGCGUAACGCGUGGGAACCUGCCCGUAGGUUCGGAAUAACUCCCCGUAAGGGGUGCUAAUACCGGAUAAUCUCUUCGGACCAAAGAUUUAUCGCCUUUGGAUGGGCCCGCGUUGGAUUGGCUAGUUGGUAGGGUAAAAGCCUGCCAAGGCGACGAUCCAUAGCUGGUCUGAGAGGAUGAUCAGCUACACUGGGAAUGAGACACGGCCCAGACUCCUACGGGGGGGAGCAGUGGGGAAUAUUGGACGAGGAGCGAAAGCCUGAUCCAGCAAUGCCGCGGGAGUGAUGAAGGCCUUAGGGUUGUAAAGCUCUUUUACCCGAGAUGAUAAUGACAGUACCGGGAGAAUAAGCUCCGGCUAACUCCGUG